AUGGCACAUGUUACACGUUUUUGGAUAUAAAUUGAUUGAGUGAACGGGUUAAAAUUCCCAUUCAAGAAGAACCACAAGACACGCCCUUGUCUGAUCUAAACUGUCGACACCCACCACUGUAACGUUAAUUGUUGCUUUUUCUUCGUAAGACAAUUCAACAUUUAAAUUUUUGUUGCAAUGAACUAAAACAUAGAGCCUCUAGAAAUUUAUAUUUUUAAUUGUGAAAAAAUAUUUGGAGAACCUUAAAAAAAAGUACUAUACAUUUUAACGCUUUAAAUCCGAGAGUGACUUUCUCGAGCGGAGACGCUGACCGGUCAGAUUUAUUUUCAUCUUUCGAAGAAAACAAAGCUCAGUUCCAUAACAAUGACAUUUAAUGGAAAGCAAAGGUACAGUGGACAACACAAAGACGACACGAGUUCACUCGGCAAAGCUGGAAUUAUUCAACGUCUCAAGUCGUAUUGCAAGAAAAUAAAGAUAGCUACAAAGUAAUCUGAAUUCUGAUACACCUGUGUGUGCGCUCCCGUGUAACUGUGAUCAUAUUGGAGUUAUGAUCAUAACUGUGGUGUUUAAAUCGUUCACUAUUUUGUUUUCCACCUUCUGUGGUCCCUAACACCACAUUUCAACCAGGAACCCAUGUGUACCCGUUCACAUUCCACAUUCCACAAGGGAACUUCCCCUCUUCUUUCCAUGGGGCGCAUGGCAGUAUAAUCUACUCCAUGAAGGUGGAGAUACACAGGCCCUGGCAUCUAACCAAGGCGUUUGAGACAGAGUUCAACUUUGCCACCUACAUAGACACCAACCAACCACAUCUUCUGAUUUCCAGAUGGGACAGCUACAGUGAUUAUAUCCCUGACCCUGUGAAAGGGGAGUAGGAGGGAGGGAAAUACGCACACACACACAGACACACACAAACAACACAUUCUUCUACAAUUGGAAAAACUUUCAAAUUGAAAAUAAAGGAAUGCAAAGACAGUGGUUAUUUAUUGGUUCUUGGUGUAAUACCACCUUAGAUUUAGAGGUUAUAAUAACGUAAGAAACACAGUGCAUUCCUCUAGGAAUUUGGAAUGACAUCCAUUUAAUUCUGAUGGUGAGAUGAUGAUAUUUUAGACAGUAUAUGGUGAGGAGACUGAGGCCUCCCAUACCUUACAGUACAUGUUGUAUAUACAACACUAUGUAAAAGCAGAGUCAAAACAGUCAGUAUACUGUUACCGACAACACAAAGGCUCUAAAAGCAAAGUAAUGCGUUUCAUUUUCUAUUCCACCGAUGCUAAAUAAAGCCAUAUUUUCUUGUUAUAGAUUUGACCACAAUCGUCAGGGCAGAUAUUUGUGCAGAUUCAGAAUGCUCUUACAUAAUAAUAUAUGUUACCAUGGCUACAACACACAGCAAUUGAUGAUUGUGGCAAAAUACACUUUAUGAUCAAGACCCUGAAAACCCAGAUGAGAUUGAUAAAAAAAAUACAUUGUAAUGGUUUCAAAAUGUUUGUUUUCCUCAUGAAGUUAGAACUAA